rnacentral:rRNA from 1 species
AUUGAACGCUGGCGGCAGGCUUAACACAUGCAAGUCGAGCGAGCGGCGGACGGGUGAGUAAUGUCUGGGAAACUGCCUGAUGGAGGGGGAUCACUACUGGAAACGGUAGCUAAUACCGCAUACCAUCAGAUGUGCCCAGAUGGGAUUAGCUAGUGGGUGGGGUAAUGGCUCACCUAGGCGACGAUCCCUAGCUGGUCUGAGAGGAUGACCAGCAAAAUUGGAACGGAGAAACGGCCCAAACUCCUACGGGAGGAAGCGGUGGGGAAUAUUGCACAAUGGGCGCAAGCCUGAUGCAGCAAUGCCGCGUGUGUGAAGAAGGCCUUCGGGUUGUAAAGCACUUUCAGCGGGGAGGCGUUACUCGCAGAAGAAGCACCGGCUAACUCCGUGCCAGCAGCCGCGGUAAUUC